GGGAAUUUGAAAUUUGAGAAUCUCUUUCUCCUCAUUAUUUUGGAAAGAGGUCUAGCUUUGGUUUAUUUGAACGCUUCUUAGCAUUGUGAACCAUUAACAAAAUGCUCUCUUUGAAAUGGAACUCUUUUGCUGUUUUCACAUCUCUUGCUACUGGAGUACCGACUGCAUGGAAAAUGAACAUUUGAUGCUUAGUUUUUCUACUGCUUUCUGAAAACCUUACCAAUUAGAGGGGAUGGCGCUAUUUGUCUGCUUUUAAAACCUAUUCAAUUAAAAGUUCCGGGGGAGGAUUUAUUUGAAGCCAUCAUAGUGUUUCUGUUCUUUGG
rnacentral:misc_RNA from 1 species